rnacentral:tRNA from 1 species
GCCUGACUGGCUCAGUCAGAAGAGCAUGUGACUCCUGAUCUUGGGGUUGUGAGUUUGAGCCCCACGUUGGGUG